GUCAAUAUUUUACAGUUAAGCAAACAUGAAAGUAUUUCAAAUAGCAUUUGUUGUGGCCUGCAUUAUUGCUGCCGUCUCCUGUAAUCCCGGCAAUAAUGGUAUACAUGGUGGUGGUAAUUCCGGUAAUAAACAGAGCAAUUUUGACAUUAAAGGAAGUUUAUUCAAAUAAACGUUAACUGAUUCUGAGGACCGUCUUACAAGACUUAAAUUUUGUGAAUGUUUUUUUUUAUAUUUUAAACUAAAUGAAAUGCCAGUAGAA